ensembl:snRNA U2 U2 spliceosomal RNA
AUCUCAUCUUGGCGUUUUGAUCAAGAUCAAGGGUGGUAUCUGUUCUUGUCAGUUUAAUAUCUAAUAUGGUAUGUUAUUGUACACCACCCAGAAUCACUUUUC